rnacentral:lncRNA from 1 species
UGAGCAAGAAAACAAACAAAAACAGUAAGAUUAUGUAUGAACCAAGCUUUACCCAGCAUUACUACUCUUUUCUCCUGGAAUGUAUUGAAUUACUUUUAUUGAGAUGAAAAAUCUGGGGCCAAAAGAAUUAUAUAUGUGAGAGACCAGAAUAUGCCACCUCAAGAUAUGAAGGACUGUUGAGUUGAAGACAAUUAAAAAGCAGCAGAUACAGGAAUGCUCUCUGACCUCCUCUAUUUGCCUAAAAGCAAAAUGUAGAUUUUCAAAGACAAAAGGGAUCCUGGCAUUCCCUCCUCCCUGCUACUUACAGGGAAAACAGAGAUUAACCACUAAAGACAACUUUAGACACAUAUCUUCUGGAGGUGGUACCAGAGGCACCUGCCUUAACAAGUUUCACCUAAUAGUCUUUACCUGCCAUUUAUUUGCCUUCCCACAAGUUGCAUCCUCUAGAGACUAAAAGUUCUUUUACUGUGUCUUCUCAAUUCUCUAAAAAUUUACUGUUCUUUCUUGAAUAUGCUAUAUAAACUGGAACUCAAAGCCA